GCAUGUGUCAAACUUUUAGAUCAAUACCUUGACCUAUUUUGUGGUUCCCAAGAGAUGAGACUUCAUACACAAACAAAUGAUGAGAUCACAUGUGAGAUCACAUGUAAGGCCACAGUCACCUUGUAGUUCAAGUGCCAAGCCUUCUGAGUGCUUUUCUUUUAGAAACGGGUAUCAGAAUUUUUUUAAAUAUACAAUUGUUGUCUUACAUUCCAUAAAGUACUGUGUUCAACAUCUAUUUUUCUUUCACCUUGUGGCUGGGGUUUAGCAUUUUAACAGCAGUUGCUAUGGAAGAGUUAGCCAUGUUUAUUGAGAAAUGACAAACAGCAACAGCUGAAAGACAAAUAUUGUAUUCUGUUUUAAGUAUAAGGUGGGCCCUGAGCCAGAGAUUAGCAGCUUCAGAAUGUGGACAGCCACAAAGCUGGGUCCUUGGUCCUGACAAACACUGUAGUUACUCAGGCGUAAGGCUUAAAUGUAGCUUAUACUGUCUGUAACUGAGCAGUCUGCCACAGAUAGUCAGAGAUGCAAAAGAACUCAAUUGAGGUUAAGGAUUUUUCCUAAAAUGAAAGUCAAUGUCCUAAAGAAUGCUACAAAUGAUACAAUGCUUCGAACAUAAUACCAAGACAGGAAGAAACUGGGUAGGAAACAGGGAAGAUGCCUUGUCUGUUGGUUCCUGGUAUUUUACCUUCAUACCAGUUUUGAUCAACUCGCUUGAGA